GGAAGUAAAAAGUCGUAACAAGGUUUCCGUAGGUGAACCUGCGGAAGGAUCAUUAAAGAGUCAUUGUGGGUUUACACCCUAAUACUCCACCCAUUGUUUACAUUACCUUUGUUGCUUUGGCAGGCCCGUCCUCCGACCGCCGGCUUUCAGCUGGCCAGUGCCUGCCAGAGGACCUAAAACUCUUGUUUAAUAUUGUCUGAGUACUAUAUAAUAGUUUAAACUUUCAACAACGGAUCUCUUGGUUCUG
rnacentral:misc_RNA from 1 species